rnacentral:rRNA from 1 species
AACGCUAGCUACAGGCUUAACACAUGCAAGUCGCGGGGUAACGAGAGGGAAGCUUGCUUUCCUUGUCGACGACCGGCGCACGGGUGAGUAACGCGUAUCCAACCUGCCCAUUACCACGGGAUACCCCGUCGAGAGGCGGCCUAAUACCGUAUGCAGUCGUCAGAUGACAUCAGAGGACGACGAAAGGAUUGGCGGUAAUGGAUGGGGAUGCGUCUGAUUAGGUAGUUGGAGGGGUAACGGCCCACCAAGCCAUCGAUCAGUAGGGGUUCUGAGAGGAAGGUCCCCCACAUUGGAACUGAGACACGGUCCAAACUCCUACGGGAGGCAGCAGUGAGGAAUAUUGGUCAAUGGGCGCGAGCCUGAACCAGCCAAGUAGCGUGAGGGAUGACGGCCCUAUGGGUUGUAAACCUCUUUUAUGCGGGAAUAAAAUGUUCGACGUGUCAUACAUUGUAGGUACCGCAAGAAUAAGGACCGGCUAAUUCCGUGCCAGCAGCCGCGGUAAUACGGAAGGUCCAGGCGUUAUCCGGAUUUAUUGGGUUUAAAGGGAGCGUAGGCCGCAAGUCAAGCGUGUUGUGAAAUGCAGGGGCUCAACCUCUGGAUUGCAGCGCGAACUGGCAUGCUUGAGUACGCACGAGGUGGGCGGAAUUCGUGGUGUAGCGGUGAAAUGCUUAGAUAUCACGAAGAACUCCGAUUG